GAUGAACGCUGGCGGCGUGCUUAACACAUGCAAGUCGAACGGAAAGGCCCUGCUUUUGUGGGGUGCUCGAGUGGCGAACGGGUGCGUAACACGUGAGUAACCUGCCCUUGACUUUGGGAUAACUUCAGGAAACUGGGGCUAAUACCGGAUAGGAGCUCCUGUUGCAUGGUGGGGGUUGGAAAGUCUCGGCGGUUGGGGAUGGACUCGCGGCUUAUCAGCUUGUUGGUGGGGUAGUGGCUUACCCAGGCUUUGACGGGUAGCCGGCCUGAGAGGGUGACCGGCCACAUUGGGACUGAGAGACGGCCCAGACUCCUACGGGAGGCAGCAGUGGGGAAUAUUGCACAAUGGGCGGAAGCCUGAUGCAGCAACGCCGCGUGCGGGAUGACGGCCUUCGGGUUGUAAACCGCUUUCGCCUGUGACGAAGCGUGAGUGACGGUAAUGGGUAAAGAAGCACCGGCUAACUACGUG
rnacentral:rRNA from 1 species